AAGCUUGGCGCCGGGACCAGGGUGAUCACGAAUGCCUUGGCCUCAGGUGGAGGCUCGCCCUUGCACUCUGGCGGGUUGAAGCCCGCGACGAUCCCUAAUCGGGAUCGCUCGGACAGUGGGGACGUCCUCGGACAAUCCCUU
rnacentral:snRNA from 13 species